rnacentral:lncRNA from 1 species
AUGGCUCUGGGCAGACAUCUCUUCCUGGGGGGACUCUGUGUCCUCCUCCUCAGCACCAUGGUGGGUGGUCAAGGAUCUGUGCGUCUGUUUGGAGGGGAUAGACCCUGCUCAGGGCAUGUAGAAGUACAUUCUGGAAAAGAAUGGAUCCCAGUGUCUGAUGGGAAUUUCACACUCCCCACUGCCCAGGUCAUCUGUGCAGAGCUGGGAUGCGGCAAGGCUGUGUCUGUCCUGAAACACAUGCCCUUCAGAGAGUCUGAUGGCCAGGUCUGGGCUGAAGAGUUCAGGUGUGAAGGGGAGGAGCCUGAGCUCUGGGUCUGCCCCAGAGUGCCCUGUCCAGGGGGCAUGUGUCACCACAGUGGAGCUGUUCAGGUUGCCUGUUCAGCAGCGUACUCGGAAUUGCGGCUCAUGACAAACGGCUCCUCUCAGUGUGAGGGGCAGGUGGAGAUGAACAUUUCUGGACGAUGGAGAGCGCUGUGUGCCUCCCACUGGACUCUGGCCAAUGCCAAUGUUGUCUGUCGACAGCUUGGCUGUGGAGUUGCCAUCUCCACCCCCAGAGGACCACACUUGGUGGGCAGAGAUGACCAGAUCUCAGCAGUCCGAUUUCACUGUUUGGGGACUGAGUCUUUCCUGUGGAGUUGCCCUGUGACUGCCCUGGGUGGUUCUGACUGUUCCCAUGGCAACAUGGCCUCUGUGACCUGCUCAGGAAACCAGACCCAGGUGCUGCCCCAGUGCAGUGACUCCCUCCCUGAACCAACAGGCUCUGCAGCCUCAGGGGAGAGCGCCCCCUACUGCUCAGACAGCAGACGGCUCCGCCUGGUGGACGGGGGCGGUCACUGCGCCGGGAGAGUGGAGAUUCUUGACCAGGGCUCCUGGGGCACCAUCUGUGAUGACGGCUGGGACCUGGAAGAUGCCCACGUGGUGUGCAGGCAGCUGGGCUGUGGAGAAGCCCUCAAUGCCACGAGGUCUGCUCACUUCGGGGCAGGAUCAGGGCCCAUCUGGCUGGAUGACCUAAACUGCACAGGAAAGGAGUCCCACGUGUGGAGGUGCCCUUCCCGGGGCUGGGGGCGGCACGACUGCAGACACAAGCAGGACGCGGGGGUCAUCUGCUCAGAGUUCCUGGCCCUCAGGAUGGUGAGUGAGGACCAGCAGUGUGCUGGGUGGCUGGAAGUUUUCUACAACGGGACCUGGGGCAGUGUCUGCCGCAACCCCAUGGAAUAUAUCACCGUGUCCCUGAUCUGCAGACAGCUUGGCUGUGGGGACAGUGGAAGUCUCAACCCUUCUGUUGCUCUUAGAGAAGGUUCUAGACCCCAGUGGGUGGAUGGAAUCCGCUGUCGGAAAACAGACACCUCUCUCUGGCAGUGUCCUUCUGACCCUUGGAAUUACACUUCCUGCUCUCCCAAGGAGGAAGCCUAUAUCUCGUGUGAAGACAGCAGACAGCUCCGCCUGGUGGAUGGAGGAGGUCCCUGCGCCGGGAGAGUGGAGAUCCUUGACCAGGGCUCCUGGGGCACCAUCUGUGAUAACGGCUGGGACUUGGAUGAUGCCCGCGUGGUGUGCAGGCAGCUGGGCUGUGGAGACGCCCUCAAUGCCACGGGGUCUGCUCACUUUGGGUCAGGAUCAGGGCCUAUCUGGCUGGACACACUGGACUGCAGAGGAAAGGAAUCCCACGUGUGGAAGUGCCCUUCCCGGGGCUGGGGAGCGCACAACUGCAGUCAUAACGAUGCCGGAGUCAUCUGCUCAGGAUUUGUGCGUCUGGUUGGAGACAACGGACCCUGCUCAGGACGGGUAGAAGUACGUCCUGGAGAAGAAUGGACCCCAGUGUCUGACGGGAACUUCACACUCCCCACUGCCCAGGUCAUCUGUGCAGAGCUGGGGUGCGGCAAGGCUGUGUCUGUUCUGGGACACGAGCUCUUCAGAGAGUCUGAUGGCCGGGUCUGGGCUGAAGAGUUCAGGUGUGAGGGGGAGGAACGUAAGCUCUGGUGGUGCCCCAGAGUGCCCUGUCCAGGGGGCACUUGUCACCACAGUGGAGCUGCUCAGGUUAUUUGUUCAGGUGAGAUGCAGGUCAGGACUAACGUCCCUGCACACUUUGUUCAGGUGAGAAAUCAUGAGAUUUUUCUGAAUUUCUGUCUUCUUCUACCAGUGUACUCAGAAGUCCGACUCAUGACGAAUGGCUCCUCUCAGUGUGAAGGGCAGGUGGAGAUAAACAUUUCUGGACGAUGGAGAGCGCUCUGUGCCUCCCACUGGAGUCUGGCCAAUGCCAAUGUCGUCUGUCGUCAGCUCAGCUGUGGAGUCGCCAUCUCUACCCCCAGAGGACCAUACUUGGUGGAGAGAGGUGACCAGAUAUCAACAGUCCGAUUUCACUGCUCGGGGGCAGAGUCCUUCCUGUGGAGUUGCCCUGUGACUGCUUUGGGUGGUCCUGACUGUUCCCAUGGCAACACAGCCUCUGUGAUCUGCUCAGGAAACCAGACCCAGGUGCUGCCCCAGUGCAACGACUCCGUGUCUGAACCAGCAGGCUCUGCGGCCUCAGAGGAGAGCGCCCCCUACUGCUUAGACAGCAGGCGGCUCCGCCUGGUGGAUGGAGGAGGUCUCUGUGCCGGGAGAGUGGAGAUCCUUGACCAGGGCUCCUGGGGCACCAUCUGUGAUGACGGCUGGGACCUGGACGAUGCCCGCGUGGUGUGCAGGCAGUUGGGCUGUGGACAAGCCCUCAGUGCCACGAGGUCAGCUCACUUUGGGGCGGGAUCAGGGCCCAUCUGGCUGGACGACCUGAACUGCACAGGAAAUGAGUCCCACGUGUGGAGAUGCCCUUCCCGGGGCUGGGGGCGGCACGACUGCAGACACAAGGAGGACGCGGGGGUCAUCUGCUCAGAGUUCCUGGCCCUCAGGAUGGUGAGUGAGAACCAGGAGUGUGCUGGGUGGCUGGAAGUUUUCUACAACGGGACCUGGGGUAGUGUCUGCAGCAGCUCCAUGGAUGAUGUCACCGUGUCCAUCAUCUGCAGUCAGCUUGGCUGUGGGGACAGCGGAAGUCUCAACACCUCUGUUGGUCUCAGGGAAGGUUCUAGACCCCAUUGGGUAGAUGGAAUCCAGUGCCAGAGAACUGACCACUCUCUGUGGCAGUGUCCUUCUGACCCUUGGAAUUACAACUCAUGCUCUCCCAAGGAGGAAGCCUAUAUCUCGUGUGCAGGGAGAAGACCCAAGAGCUGUCCAGCUGCUGCCCCCUGCACAGACAGAGAGAAGCUCCGGCUCAGGGGAGGAGACAGCGAGUGCUCAGGGCGGGUGGAGGUGUGGCACAGCGGCUCCUGGGGCACUGUGUGCGAUGACUCCUGGAGCCUGGCAGAGGCCGAGGUGGUGUGUCAGCAGCUGGGCUGUGGCCAGGCCUUGGAAGCUGUGCGGACUGCGGCAUUCGGCCCUGGAAACGGGAGCAUCUGGCUGGACGAGGUGCGGUGCCGGGGCCGGGAGUCCUCCUUGUGGGACUGUGCUGCAGAGCCCUGGGGGCAGAGCGACUGCAAGCACGAGGAGGAUGCUGGUGUGAGGUGCUCUGGUGCAAGGACAUCUUUGCCCCCAACUACAACAGGGACCAGACCAGCUUUGAAUCCUCUGCCUGGCAUCUUCUCCCUGCCUUGGGUCCUCUGCCUCAUCCUGGGAGCCCUACUCUUCCUGGUCCUCAUCAUCCUGGUGACUCAGUUGCUCAGAUGGAGAGCAGAGCGCAGAGCCUUUUCCAGCUAUGAAGAUGCUCUUGCUGAAGCUGAGUAUGAAGAGCUCGAUUACCUUGUGACACAGAAGGAGGGUCUUCUGGACGUUGCAGGCUUCCUGUCAGAUGGUGAGGACGACGAGGACUCCAGAUCCACUCCAGAACAUCAGAGGACUGAUGCCCCUGGUGAGGGUUAUGAUGAUGCUGAAGAGGUACCAGUGCCUGGGGCUCCUCCUGCCUCUCAGGUGAGAGAAGAGGAAGUGCCCCCAGAGAAGGAAGAUGGGAUGAGGUCUCAGACAGGCUCUUCUCUAUUCGUCUUUGGAGAGGAAGCUGAUCCUGGGGAAGGAGAAGAGAGCCCAUGGCUGCUCCAGGGGGACAAAGGUGACCCUGGGUAUGAUGACAUUGAUGUGCCCCAGGAACAGUGACUUUCCCAUGAUGUUGUAUUAAAUAUGAGAUGAAGCCUCAGAUAUUCUAAUUGCCUGUAUUUCAAUACAGUAAUGCUGACCUGUAAUUGUGUUAUAUGGACAUUGUUCAAAAUGAAACAUUCUGAAUAAAGUAACUUUUUGCUGUGUUGCUAAUUUAGCA